AUUGAACGCUGGCGGCAGGCCUAACACAUGCAAGUCGAACGAGUGGCGGACGGGUGAGUAAUGUCUGGGAAACUGCCUGAUGGAGGGGGAUAACUACUGGAAACGGUAGCUAAUACCGCAUACCAUCAGAUGUGCCCAGAUGGGAUUGGCUAGUUGGUGGGGUAACGGCUCACCAAGGCGACGCUCCCUAGCUGGUCUGAGAGGAUGACCAGCCACACUGGAACUGAGACACGGUCAAAACUCCGACGGGAGGCAGGAGGGGGGAAUAGUGCACAAGUGGCGCAAGCCUGAUGCAGCAAAGCCGCGUGUAUGAAGAAGGCCUUCGGGUUGUAAAGUACUUUCAGCGGGGAGGCGUUACCCGCAGAAGAAGCACCGGCUAACUCCGUGCCAGCAGCCGCGGUAAUAC
rnacentral:rRNA from 1 species